rnacentral:rRNA from 1 species
UUGAACGCUGGCGGCAGGCCUAACACAUGCAAGUCGAACGGUAACAGGAAGAAGCUUGCUUCUUUGCUGACGAGUGGCGGACGGGUGAGUAAUGUCUGGGAAACUGCCUGAUGGAGGGGGAUAACUACUGGAAACGGUAGCUAAUACCGCAUAACGUCGCAAGACCAAAGAGGGGGACCUUCGGGCCUCUUGCCAUCGGAUGUGCCCAGAUGGGAUUAGCUAGUAGGUGGGGUAACGGCUCACCUAGGCGACGAUCCCUAGCUGGUCUGAGAGGAUGACCAGCCACACUGGAACUGAGACACGGUCCAGACUCCUACGGGAGGCAGCAGUGGGGAAUAUUGCACAAUGGGCGCAAGCCUGAUGCAGCCAUGCCGCGUGUAUGAAGAAGGCCUUCGGGUUGUAAAGUACUUUCAGCGGGGAGGAAGGGAGUAAAGUUAAUACCUUUGCUCAUUGACGUUACCCGCAGAAGAAGCACCGGCUAACUCCGUGCCAGCAGCCGCGGUAAUACGGAGGGUGCAAGCGUUAAUCGGAAUUACUGGGCGUAAAGCGCACGCAGGCGGUUUGUUAAGUCAGAUGUGAAAUCCCCGGGCUCAACCUGGGAACUGCAUCUGAUACUGGCAAGCUUGAGUCUCGUAGAGGGGGGUAGAAUUCCAGGUGUAGCGGUGAAAUGCGUAGAGAUCUGGAGGAAUACCGGUGGCGAAGGCGGCCCCCUGGACGAAGACUGACGCUCAGGUGCGAAAGCGUGGGGAGCAAACAGGAUUAGAUACCCUGGUAGUCCACGCCGUAAACGAUGUCGACUUGGAGGUUGUGCCCUUGAGGCGUGGCUUCCGGAGCUAACGCGUUAAGUCGACCGCCUGGGGAGUACGGCCGCAAGGUUAAAACUCAAAUGAAUUGACGGGGGCCCGCACAAGCGGUGGAGCAUGUGGUUUAAUUCGAUGCAACGCGAAGAACCUUACCUGGUCUUGACAUCCACGGAAGUUUUCAGAGAUGAGAAUGUGCCUUCGGGAACCGUGAGACAGGUGCUGCAUGGCUGUCGUCAGCUCGUGUUGUGAAAUGUUGGGUUAAGUCCCGCAACGAGCGCAACCCUUAUCCUUUGUUGCCAGCGGUCCGGCCGGGAACUCAAAGGAGACUGCCAGUGAUAAACUGGAGGAAGGUGGGGAUGACGUCAAAUCAUCAUGCCCUUUAUGUCUUGGGCUACACACGUACUACAAUGGCUAUAACAAAGAGAAGCGAGACAGUGAUGUGGAGCAAAACUCAAAAAAAUAGUCUCAGUUCGGAUUGAAGGCUGAAAUUCGCCUUCAUGAAGCUGGAAUUGCUAGUAAUGGCAGGUCAGCAUACUGCCGUGAAUACGUUCCCGGGCCUUGUACACACCGCCCGUCACACCAUGAGAGUUGGCAACACCCGAAGCCGGCGGCCCAACCCGCAAGGGAGGGAGCUGUCUAAGGUGGGGCUGAUGAUUGGGGUG